CAGAUGCUAAUACCGGAUAACAANAGAUGAUGCCUAUCAACUGUUUAAAAAGAUGGUUCUGCUAUCACUCUUGGAUGGACCUGCGGUGCAUUAGCUAGUUGGUAGGGUAACGGCCUACCAAGGCGAUGAUGCAUAGCCGAGUUGAGAGACUGAUCGGCCACAUUGGGACUGAGACACGGCCCAAACUCCUACGGGAGGCAGCAGC
rnacentral:rRNA from 1 species